rnacentral:rRNA from 1 species
CGAAAGUCUGACGGAGCAACGCCGCGUGAGUGAUGAAGGUUUUCGGAUCGUAAAGCUCUGUUGUUAGGGAAGAACAAGUGCAAGAGUAACUGCUUGCACCUUGACGGUACCUAACCAGAAAGCCACGGCUAACUACGUGCCAGCAGCCGCGGUAAUACGUAGGUGGCAAGCGUUGUCCGGAAUUAUUGGGCGUAAAGGGCUCGCAGGCGGUUUCUUAAGUCUGAUGUGAAAGCCCCCGGCUCAACCGGGGAGGGUCAUUGGAAACUGGGAAACUUGAGUGCAGAAGAGGAGAGUGGAAUUCCACGUGUAGCGGUGAAAUGCGUAGAGAUGUGGAGGAACACCAGUGGCGAAGGCGACUCUCUGGUCUGUAACUGACGCUGAGGAGCGAAAGCGUGGGGAGCGAACAGGAUUAGAUACCCUGGUAGUCCACGCCGUAAACGAUGAGUGCUAAGUGUUAGGGGGUUUCCGCCCCUUAGUGCUGCAGCUAACGCAUUAAGCACUCCGCCUGGGGAGUACGGUCGCAAGACUGAAACUCAAAGGAAUUGACGGGGGCCCGCACAAGCGGUGGAGCAUGUGGUUUAAUUCGAAGCAACGCGAAGA